rnacentral:rRNA from 1 species
GGGGUGCUCGAGUGGCGAACGGGUGAGUAACACGUGAGUAACCUGCCCUUGACUUUGGGAUAACUUCAGGAAACUGGGGCUAAUACCGGAUAGGAGCUCCUGCUGCAUGGUGGGGGUUGGAAAGUUUCGGCGGUUGGGGAUGGACUCGCGGCUUAUCAGCUUAUUGGUGGGGUAGUGGCUUACCAAGGCUUUGACGGGUAGCCGGCCUGAGAGGGUGACCGGCCACAUUGGGACUGAGAUACGGCCCAG